GCUGUACCGUGCGCGUGACGGCUGCGUGCGGCGGGAAUCAUGGCUGCUCGCAGAGCUCUGCACUUCGUAUUCAAAGUGGGAAACCGCUUCCAGACGGCGCGUUUCUAUCGGGACGUCCUGGGGAUGAAGGUUCUGCGGCAUGAGGAAUUUGAAGAAGGCUGCAAAGCUGCCUGUAAUGGGCCUUAUGAUGGGAAAUGGAGUAAAACAAUGGUGGGAUUUGGGCCUGAGGAUGAUCAUUUUGUCGCAGAACUGACUUACAAUUAUGGCGUCGGAGACUACAAGCUUGGCAAUGACUUUAUGGGAAUCACGCUCGCCUCUAGCCAGGCUGUCAGCAACGCCAGGAAACUGGAGUGGCCACUGACAGAAGUUGCAGAAGGUGUUUUUGAAACCGAGGCCCCGGGAGGAUAUAAGUUCUAUCUGCAGAAUCGCAGUCUGCCUCAGUCAGAUCCUGUAUUAAAAGUAACUCUAGCAGUGUCUGAUCUUCAAAAGUCCUUGAACUACUGGUGUAAUCUACUGGGAAUGAAAAUUUAUGAAAAAGAUGAAGAAAAGCAAAGGGCUUUGCUGGGCUAUGCUAAUAACCAGGUGAGCAAUCUUGGAGAAGAAUAACCUGUUACUUUGAAUUUGGCUUGUAAACGAAGCUUAUAAAUGGCUUAUAACCUAUAAAUGAAGUUAACAUGAAGGUUGUUCCCAUAGUUUCUUCACAGUGAUUCAAUAUUUAUAUAGAUAAACAGAAGAAAAUAAGUGAUAACCUCACCACCCAGAUAUUACCUUGUUUGUAUUUGGGGAUAUAUCUCUUCAGAAGUGGAAUUGCUUAAUCCAAGAGAUUGAAUGGAUUUAAUGCAAGAUCUUUUUCAUCUUCUUUUUCUAAUAACCCAGCGUUUGAGCACGAUUUAGUCCUUGCACUUUGACCCUGCAAUUCUACUCCUAGGAAUUAUUUUACAGAUGUGCUCAACAUACAUCAGCACAAAGAAUUGUGUGCAAGGUUAUCUGCUGCAGCAUUGUCUGUAAUCACAACGUGUAAGAAUUCCAGUGUCCUAUAGAUUAGAGACAUAUUUCAGUAAUUUACGGCUCAUUCAUGGAAUGGAUUACUAUGUCGCUAGCAAAAAGAUUGAGGCAAAUCUUUAUGUAUUGACAUGGUAACAUUAAGUGGAGAAAAACAAGGAACAGAAUAAUUUGUAAAUUAUACCACCAUUUGUGUAAAAAAAAAACAUAGAUGCGUGCAGUGCUUCUAGAAGGAUACACAGGAAACUGUGGACUAGUUGUCUCUGGGGUGAGAGUAGGAUAGAGACUCAGUUUUUACUUUAUUCCUUUAGUAUAUAAUAUUUGAAUUUUUCUACCACAUACGUGUAAUGAAUGUAUAACCUGUUCCAAAAAAUAACCCCCUUUCCUAUUUCAGUGUAAGCUGGAGCUACAGGGCGUCAAGGGUGGGGUGGACCAUGCAGCAGCUUUUGGAAGAAUUGCCUUCUCUUGCCCCCAGAAAGAGGUAACGCUUGAUACCAGAUCGUUUGAGCUUUGUGACUAGCUAGUUCAACCCAGCUAAGAACCUUGUCCUUCCCUUCUUGAGGUCCUUUUUGAUUGUGGCUUUAGUAUCAAGUUCAGCAGUUGUUUCGAGAGCAGCUGAGAUAAUAAAUUCAAACAAAUGGCGCCUUGGUUCUUUAUGGUAUCUGAUACUCCUCUAGGACUGACAAGGGCCGUGUCCUGAGUAGUGUGUGAACCCUGGCUCACGUUGCCUCUGUUUUCUUCAAGUUGCCAGACUUAGAAGACUUGAUGAAAAGGGAGAACCAGAAGAUUCUGACUCCCCUGGUGAGCCUGGACACCCCAGGGAAAGCAACAGUACAGGUGGUCAUUCUGGCCGACCCUGACGGACAUGAAAUUUGCUUUGUCGGGGAUGAAGCAUUUCGAGAACUUUCUAAGAUGGAUCCAGAGGGAAGCAAAUUGUUGGAUGAUGCAAUGGCAGCAGAUAAAAGUGACGAGUGGUUUGCUAAACACAAUAAACCCAAAGCUUCAGGUUAACGGAAGACAUGAUGCAGAGCAAGCCUCUGUGAUUCCUGCCCAGCACCUGUGAGGCCUGACGUGUCAGUUCCCAAUAAAUGCUCUUCUGAUUUGUUUCCCGUAUAGGCAAGGAGGCUCGGGUAGUGCAGAUUUGUGUAUUUCAAUCUUUGAAAGCUCUGAUGUAGUUUAGAAAUGAAAUCCAAUCAUGAGUCCAGGUAGAGAACGCCUGCUGUAAUCUGCGCAUUCUGUAUAUAACUGUGUUGGAUGAGUGACAGAUGAUUGUGCAGACUAGGACAGCGGCAUGAACAUGACUUUGGUUGGGACUGCGGAUAGUUAGGGUUACCUCUGAAUCAUGUAGCUUUUAUGAGAGCAGCUGUGAAAGUGAAUCCACAUUAAUGGCUUGUCGUGGUGCCACUCCCAGCACCUGACGAUAUGCUCUUCUAUUGUCUUAUUCUGGCAGGUUUUGACGUUUUAAAUUUUUUAAAGAAAUUUUAUUCCUUGGACCAAAAGGUUUGGUUAACCACCCCCAUCUUACUUGCUUUCACAUUUUGAGUGUCCAGAGGAAACAGAAAGGGAUGAGUGUGCGAGCUUCUUUCUGCGUAUAUAUUUUGUUUUUUCUGUGUAUAUUUUUAAUCCCGACAGAACAUCAUGUGAGAUUUCUUUAAAAUGGAUUAAACGAUUUCUUCAGCCUG
rnacentral:sRNA from 1 species